rnacentral:rRNA from 1 species
AACGAACGCUGGCGGCAGGCCUAACACAUGCAAGUCGAGCGCUGUAGCAAUACAGAGCGGCGCACGGGUGAGGAACACGUGGGAACGUGCCCAACGGUUUGGAAUAACUCAGGGAAACUUGAGCUAAUACCGGAUACGCCCCUUCCGGGGGGAAAGAUUUAUCGCCGAUGGAGCGGCCCGCGUCCGAUUAGCUUGUUGGUGAGGUAAAAGCUCACCAAGGCGACGAUCGGUAGCUGGUUUGAGAGAACGAUCAGCCACACUGGGACUGAGACACGGCCCAGACUCCUACGGGAGGCAGCAGUGGGGAAUCUUGGACAAUGGGGGCAACCCUGAUCCAGCCAUGCCGCGUGAGUGAUGAAGGCCCUAGGGUUGUAAAACUCUUUCGGCGGGGACGAUAAUGACGGUACCCGCAGAAGAAGCUCCGGCUAACUUCGUG